UGUUGGUGAUGAAGCGAUUUGUGAUAGAAAUGGUCCAAGGCUUUGGGCCAUCGGGACUAGAACA
rnacentral:sRNA from 1 species